UACCACAGAUCAAAACCAACCAUGGAGGAAGAGAGGAGCGCACAGCCAAAGUCAUGGUCAAGCGCUAAUGUUUACUCUUUGGUUUGGAGGGCUUUUGGAUGGACUCCAUUUUGAAGAGCUCACAUCAAAUUGACUCAAGCCCUUCCGCUGCUAGCUAGCUACCACCGCUAGCCACUCUUUAUUGUUCAUCUACCUGCAGUAAUGUGGACCUCUCCUGUCUUUUAAACCUGCCACUGCCACUGGUCUCCGGGAUCAGACAUGGUGUCGGGGGAGAGAGAUGAAGACAGGAAAAAAAGGCUCAGCUAAUGACUAGCUCUUAUGCAUCAGUACACUUACUAAUGAGCUUCCAGGGAGAGGCUGAAGGAGCUGGAGCGAAGGCUGAGUUGGGAUGUGAGAGGCCUGGACCAUCACUUCCCCGCUGUGAUCCCUGCCUUCCCACUCACAGGGAGCCCGGGCUCCCAGCCACUAAUGAGUGUUAGAGGGAAAGUCCAAGCCCGCGUCCACCUGCCAGCCUUCAGAGCCCAGCCCGGUGCAAGACAGUGGGGGUCAGACGCAUUCCUGAGCUCUUAAUAAUUUACAUCAUAUUGAUUUCCUUACUGUUAGACACUCUCACCUGGAUGGGCUCGCUCUUUCACAAAGAAGCACAUUCCAACCAGAGAGAGGAAUUAUAACGAUACAAUAGAAUCCAUGUCUCUCUGCCCAGGUUCCAAGAAAUAAAAAACAGAGAAGUUAUUCAACCCUCACAAAAAAAUCGAUCAAAGGAUGCCCACCAGCCUCACAAGACUCGUCUGAAGGUUGCUAAAAAAAAUG